ACGUAGGGUGCGAGCGUUAAUCGGAAUUACUGGGCGUAAAGCGUGCGCAGGCGGUUCGCUAAGACAGGUGUGAAAUCCCCGGGCUUAACCUGGGAAUGGCGCUUGUGACUGGCAGUCUAGAGUGCGUCAGAGGGGGGUGGAAUUCCACGUGUAGCAGUGAAAUGCGUAGAGAUGUGGAGGAACACCGAUGGCGAAGGCAGCCCCCUGGGAUGACACUGACGCUCAUGUACGAAAGCGUGGGUAGCAAACAG
rnacentral:rRNA from 1 species